GUGCUCACUUCCACAUCACAGUUACUAAGAUUGGGAAGAUACAGAGAAGAUUAGCAUGGCCCCUGCACAAGGAUGACAUAAAAACUUGUGAAGUUGUCUGUAUUAAA